ensembl:lncRNA
CGGGCCGGGCGGCCGGGAGGGCGUUCCUCUGUCCUACGCUGCGGCCCUGCAGCCUCCAGCCCGGAGGAGGGCUCCAGGCCCGGGGCCCGAGCCCGCAUUCGCGUCGCGGCGCGGGAGCAGACCCCUAACGUCAGACUGCGGGUCAAAGGACCUCGGGCCGCCGGCGCCUGGGCCUGCGCCGCAGAGGGCUGGCGGGAGCGGCCGCGGUUGCCCGAGGCGAAGAAGCCGGGCCAUGGGGGAGAGGCCCGUGUCUCCGAGUGCUGUGCUGGGGGCUGACGCUAGCUCAAGCCGGCCUGGAGUCCCCCGGAGACCGGGGUCUCAGGCGGGCACCCAACCGUCCUCUGCCGCACCGCCGAACCCAUAGCCUUGCCUGGGGACAGGAGGCCUGGCUGUGAGCAGCCCGGCUGGCCCUUCCGCUCCAGGUCGGCUGCGUCUCCGUGGAACUCGGGCUGCUGCUCUGGCCCUUUCUGCCCCCGCAGCCGUGCUGAAGGCCGAGCAGGCGGCGGUGUUUAAGUUCCCGCUGGCGCCGCUCGGUUGCUCCGGGCUGGGCUCGGCGCUGCUGGCUGCGGGGCCCGGACUGCCCGGUGCCGCGGGCGCGCCGCACCUGCCGCUGGAGCUGCAGCUGCGCGGGAAGCUGGAGGCGCCGGGCACUGGGGAGCCGGGCACCAAGGCCAAGAAGGGGCGUCGGAGCCGCACGGUGUUCACCGAGCUGCAGCUGAUGGGCCUAGAGAAGCGCUUCGAGAAGCAGAAGUACCUCUCCACACCCGACAGAAUAGAUCUCGCGGAGUCCCUGGGCCUGAGCCAGUUACAGGUGAAGACGUGGUACCAGAACCGGCGGAUGAAGUGGAAGAAAAUAGUGCUGCAGGGUGGCGGCCUGGAGUCUCCCACCAAGCCCAAGGGGCGGCCCAAGAAGAACUCCAUCCCCACAAGCGAGCAGCUCACGGAGCAGGAGCGCGCCAAGGAGGCGGAGAAGUCGGCGGAGGCGCCAGGCGAGGCCAGCGACAGGAGCCGCGAGGACUGAGCGCGGCAAGGGGUGCGGCCCGGGACCCUCGCGCCGCCGGUGGCCCCCUCAGCCCGCGGGAAGCCGCGAGCCGGCCCUUCUGCACCCACGCCGUUUGCUUUCUAAACGUUUUAUUAUCUUGAAUGCGGACAGUUAGGGGCCAAACAAGGAAGGACACAGACCCUGAAGCCAAACCCCGGCCCCGGUGCGCUCCGGGCCCUGGCCUGGAGACUGGCGUCUGGCGCUGCGGAGGGUCGCCUCUAGUCGGAGCUCCGCGGCGCCGGGCGCCCCACGCGCAUUCACGCCCCGCUCCUCUCCCGCACCCCCACCCGCCUCGGCCGGUUCCGGACGCCGCCGGGCGCACUCCCGCUUCCGCGCGUCAGGGACCCCGCUGCUGGAGCAGGCCACCACGGCCGGCCAGAGACGGCGCCCGGACAGCCCGGCGCUCGGCCCUGCAGCUGGGUUCCCGACGUCGCUGGGGCCCCUACCCCUCUCUUGCGAAGACGGUGAUCUUUUUUCCAAUAAAAUAUUUUAUGACACCGCGGGG